rnacentral:rRNA from 1 species
CCAAUAGCGUAUAUUAAAGUUGUUGCAGUUAAAAAGCUCGUAGUUGAAUUUCGGGGUCAGUAGGUUGGUCGUUCCACCGGUACGUACUGGUCUCACUGAUUCCUCCUUCCUGAUGAGCUGUAAUGCCAUUAAUUUGGUGUUGCAGGGAAUCUGGACUGUUACUUUGAAAAAAUUAGAGUGUUUAAAGCAGGCUUACGCUUGAAUACAUUAGCAUGGAAUAAUGAAAUAGGACGUUCGAUCCUAUUUUGUUGGUUUCUAGGAUUGACGUAAUGAUUAAUAGGGAUAGUUGGGGGCAUUAGUAUUCAAUUGUCAGAGGUGAAAUUCUUGGAUUUAUUGAAGACUAACUACUGCGAAAGCAUUUGCCAAGGAUGUUUUCAUUAAUCAAGAACGAAAGUUAGGGGAUCGAAGACGAUCAGAUACCGUCGUAGUCUUAACCAUAAACUAUGCCGACUAGGGAUCGGAUGAUGUUAAUUUUUUAAUGACUCAUUCGGCGCCUUACG